GUUAUAAAAGUGGAAGCUCAGGAUAAAGAUCUGUCACCUGAUUUCAGCCUUAUUAGUUACAGCCUUUGGGGACCAAACUCUGAUUACUUUUAUAUAAGGGAAGGAGAUGGAAACAUCAUGGUGAAUAAAACUUUGGAUUACAACAAGAUCAAUCAUUUCAAUUUAACAGUCCAAGCAAAGGAAAGAUUUGGAACUAACAGUGAUAAUGCCUCAGUAAUAAUUCAUGUACAGGAUUAUGACACAUUGAACCCCUAUUUCAGACAAUCAGUGUACAAUGGAACAAUCAAUGAAAA